GGCGUAAUUCGGUCCAAAUUGACAUAUGAAAAUAACUGUUUUUCAACCUUCAUCAGAUGUAUGCAUGAUUUCAAUCCAAAUUAGUUCACAUAAUCAAUCUUUUUUUCAACAGAUGCUUUGUUCAUGAAUGAUCAAUCAACUAACAUAGAUGCAAACAUGGAUUUUAAAAAUUCUCACCAAGCAAGUGUUUCACUCAAUCACUCAAGUGUUUAGGUGGUCACUCUACUCUCUACUGUUCACAUGUCACAUAAAACAAUAUUGUCAUUCAUCUAAAACAAUCAACAUCUUUCACAUGCAUAUGUCAUCACAAGGACUUUUUCCAAGGCUUGUGUUGUGGGUGGGCUAACUAGAAAAUUGGUUUUUUUGAAAUACAAAAUCCUUGAGUUAAGAGAGUUUAAAUCAUUAUUCAAAGUUCAAGCACACUCUCUUUUUAACCAAUCUCACUCAUUCCCAACUUUUCCCUUUUUACAUGGAGUUCUUUUUAACAUGCAUAAACUCUUUUCUUCUUUUCUUUUCUUUUUCACAUGCACUUUUCUUUUUCAUCUUUUGAACUCAAUGCUUUUCUUUUUCUUUUCUUUUGCCUUUCACUUUCCCCAUUCAACCCCAAACUACAACCUUUUGAAUACAUUGCAAAAUGUAGUGAAUCAAUUGGCUAGAAGAAACUAUGGAUGAAUGGAGUUGUUGGGGUUUACAAUUUCAUCUUAUCCACCCUUUUAUAUCUACUCUUCUUAUUUAAUUCGCUUAUUUAUCAUAUUGUCAUGCAAACUUUCUUGGUCUACCCUAAACCCAAUCUCUUGGCGAAAAUAGCCUAUUACUAAUUACUAACUUGCUAUCUCUAACCUCCCCUAGUAACUAGCAAUGCAUGAUAAACGGAAGCAAAAUACAAUUGAUCGUCCUACCCCUAUCUCUAGGCGGUAUUAGCUUAAUCAAGGAAUUCCCCCU
rnacentral:lncRNA from 1 species